rnacentral:tRNA from 1 species
GUGCUUGUAGCUCAGUUGGUUAGAGCGUCGCUUUGUGGCAGCGAAUGCCGAGGGUUCGAGUCCCUUCAAGCACC